UGCAUCGUUCAUAUCAGACUGAAAGAGCCCGUUCUCGUCCGCUCCCUGAAGGUUAACACUCUUGAGCGCAACUAGUAUUGGGUUGGGUGACCACCUGAGAAUCCUGCGUGACGAUGUGU
rfam:Coccomyxa subellipsoidea C-169, whole genome shotgun sequence.